rnacentral:rRNA from 1 species
UACGUAGGAGGCAAGCGUUGUCCGGAUUUAUUGGGCGUAAAGAGCUCGUAGGUGGUUCGGUAAGUCGGAUGUGAAAUCUCCAGGCUCAACCUGGAGGGGUCAUUCGAUACUGCCGUGACUAGAGUCCGGAAGAGGAGAGUGGAAUUCCUGGUGUAGCGGUGAAAUGCGCAGAUAUCAGGAAGAACACCCGUGGCUAAGGCGGCUCUCUAGUACGGUACUGACGCUGAGACGCGAAAGCGUGGGGAGCGAACAGG